AAAGAAAAAAAAAUAAACAAAGGAAAUAUUGACAAUAAGUUAAUAUAUGUAAGCAUAAUCAAUACUCAUGUCGUAACCAUCAAUCUAACUCUAAUUCUUUGCCAAUCUCGAUACAUUUCAUCACCCAUAAUUCUGCUAAAUUCCUUCCCAAAUAUAACUCUGGCUGUUACCAGGCGAAACAUGCUCUAACUAAACUAAAUUCAAGGAUCCUUUCAAUGCUUAUGAUGCGAUAAUAAUGCCUUGAAUUUAUUUGUUGUUUGUGCAUAACCUUUAAUUUCGUUGCACAUAGACAACCUUCUGUCGAUUAAAAGUUAAAAAUCCACGUGAUGAUCACAUGUAAUAGUUUUGAAGGAUAAAAUAGGAUAAUAAUUAAUUUUAAUUAAAACACAGAGAAAAUAAAAAUUCAAAGGGGAAAGAAAGGGCAAAAAAAUAAAGGAGAAGAGAAAUGAUAAUAAUUAUAUGGCUAUGAAUUAUUAACUUAAAUAAACAUGUCUAUGGAUCAAUACAAUUAUUCCUAUUACUGUGGAUCAAUACAAUUCAUUUGAGUUUGAUAACCUUAGCAAACUCAAGUGAAGUACCCUAGAUCGUUUAUUCUUACCACAAUAUUUUUUCGAAGAGUUAUUGCUAAACUAACAUAAAAAGAAGUGGAAAAAAAAAAGGAGGAAAAGAAUAAGGGAUUCUUACCACAAUUUUCUUUGAAUUUAAUGCAAAAAGAGAUGUCUCAAGCAAUUUAAGGACAAUAUUGAAGAUUGAUAAGGACGUUUCAAGAAUAACAUAAAAACUAACGGAACAAAUAAUGGCCGAUGAAAACUUCA
rnacentral:lncRNA from 1 species